GUAACACAGUCUUGACACGGAAGAGGGGAAGAUGAACAGAAGGACAACAAAAACUGUGCUUUCAGAUGACGUCUCUUAAUAGGUUUCUCCAUUGAGGCAGUAAUCUUGAUGAAGCUGAAUUGAAAAAGUAAAAGAACAGGUUUAUUUCAGCAAAGCAACAAACCAGUAAGUUCUUCAGUCCCAGAGAUUGAAGUAGGAGAAGUCAUGCACUGAACUGAAGCAGGAAGUGUGAUGACCUGUCUGCCACAAGCUGUGUCUGUGCCCAAGUACGACCAAAAACUGAAAACUUAGGCAUGGACUUGGGCUGGCAUCAACAGAAUGAGCUCAUACUGAAGAUGUGCAGAGCAGUUAACAGCUAUCAGAAGCUCUAAGAUCUGGAAGUAUAUUCUACCAUGUCAACAAUGAAGGAACGGGAGUCUAGAAGAUGAUGACUUUACCUUGAAUCAUACAGCAGAGGAUACAGCCUUAUAAGGCUUAGGAUUUUCAUCAUUCUAUUUUUUACCUUUUUAAAAUUUUAUUAUUUUUUACUUUUUUGGAGUUUCAUAUAUGA